CCAUUCAAAAUCCGGCAAAGUCACAAGAUUAAUAAGUUCCAGUGGCAAAUUAGAGUUUUUAGGCGAAAUCAUUACGCCUCUCCUCAUAAUUGUUAUUUGAUUGAUUGAGAGCAAUUGUUGUCCAUGUGAGGCAGGUAACUCUGAGUGAUGAAAAUGGGGAAUGAAGCCACGGCCCAAUAUUCCUAACUGGGGAUAUUAUUAAAGGAAGGACCAUCAGAUAGAACUGCUAUAGAGGCGAUGCUGCUUCAACCGAAGGUGAAAUCUGUUACUUGUACGGGUGCCUGCAAGCGGAAAACAUUUAUUUUGCGUUAAUUUUUGUUAGUUUUGAUAUAGGAUUUGCCAUUUACGCUAAUUUACAGGUUGGAGACCUUGACCUGGAAACUCGCGGCCCUAUAAAUGGUUGCAUACCAUUUUUGAUGUAUUAUGCCGCUACUAAUACCCAACACAAAUGUAAGACUAUUAUACCCAAUGAGAGUACAUAUGAAGCAAAUGUAUUUCUUUGUCAUUGUUCUUAAAUUUUGUCUAGCAACCAUUAAUUUCUAAAUGAAUAGAAAAUGUUUUAUGGUUUACAGAAUAUGGUUAGGUGGUAAGGUUUUGUAGUAGAUCUUGACUAGGGUUUUGUUUCUUAGUAGCAGAGAUUAUAUUUCUUUUCCUUAUCUAUUUCUCCAUGGCCCCAAAUCCAAUAUAUCCGUGAUAGGGAAUUAAGACCACUCUGACGAAUAGAAGGAAAAUAUAGGAAAGAUUACGUUCAAUUUGGGAAAACAUUAGUGCAUGGCUCUUAGGACCAUGUUUGUUUUGGAGGAUGAAUUUGGCGAAUUAGAAAUUCAAUCGCGAUUAAGGUUGGAUAAUAUCAGUCGGAACUAGUCCAGAUUACUAAGCCAUUUCCUUUUUUCUUUUAUUUUUUUUAUAUUAUGUUUCCCUUUUUUCUUUUCAUGUGAAUCUCAGUAUUCACUGUUUGUUUUACAAUAAGAUAUGGUAUUGGAUUAAAAACACUUUUGUCAUAUUGUCAUAAUUGCUCUCACAUCAUAAUUUUAUGUAAUUUACGCUUAUUUUUUCAUGUUGCUAUUUUUAGUCUUUUAAUUUAAAAUAAAAUAAUAUUUUAAAAAAUAUUAUUUUAAGCCCGUGGCCCAGGACCAUGGGACUGAGCUGGGGUCUCAUCUUCAAGCCCGCCCCAAGCUUGGCCCCGCCCAUUAAAACAGUCAAAACCCAUCAGGCCCAGCCCAAGCCAAGCCAAAAUGGGCCUGGCCCAGCUCGGCCUAGCCCAUUGACGAAUUAAACUAUCCAAUCAAUAAAUUAAUCCCAAAAAUUUUAAAAGAAUUGAAUGAGAAGUUAUUAAAAUACUUAGAAAUUCUCAUGAUAUUACAAGAAACUUCUCAGUAGAAUAUGUAUAUGAGAAAAAAUUGAGACAUUUCAAUAUUGCCAAACUUCACUAAAUAACACACAGAGUGAGGAGUCAUCCAUAAUAAAAAAAAAAAAACAAUAAAAGGUCAAUCUCCCACAACAAUCAACCAAAUUAUAAUGAUAUCUAAACAAAUAGAUCAUUUUGUAAGUAUUUUAUGAAAAGCCCCAAAUUGAGAAGUUACAAAUACGAUGAUUCCAUCAAUUAACCAAAUUUGUGCAUCAAAGGGUAAUUCGGGCAUGUUAUAAGCUUUAAAACUUUUGGGUAAAUAAGAUCCAUGGCUUUAUAGUAUACAAAUGGUAUAAGAGAGUUGGAGCCCCCCACCCCCACCUCCCCACCACCACCACACACAAAAAUGAUUUUUCUAGUAAAAAUAAAUUGCCCAAAAAAGUUUACCUCUUACAAGUUCUCAAAAACAACCACCAACCCCCAACCACCAAAUGUUCACCAAAAGAAACGAUAUAAGCAACGUCUCAUACAAGAAGGUCAUUAAUUUCAAGUUUUCGCCUGCUUCUGUCGAUAUGCAAGGUUAGCUAAAUAUAACCCCAACACAUUCUUGAUCGGAAAGGUCUAAAGUGCACCGAUAAACUAAAUAUAUCAAGAGGGUCAAAUGUUCGAGUGUUUAAACGUAGGGGGCACAUGAAAAUGGGUCUUAGCAGAGGUUUAUUGUAAAUUUUGUACCAAUAAACAUACCGACAUCACAGGCCCCAUUACUUGCGGUAAAUUUUGGGUUUAGAAUUAAUGACUUGUAUAUUUUAGAGAUAAGAAUAUCGGAGUGAAUUACAAAUUUUGUGGGUUGACUCCCGGGUUAAAUAUGUAAUCCAUUAAAUUAGCUCAAUUUGUAAUACCCCAACCCCCCCUCCCCACAUUAUUAUAAUUAAGGGUAUGGAUAUACCUUAAAAUUACUAAAAAUACCCAUAAUAAGUACAAUAGCAACACAUAGCCCACACCAUUUCCUCGAAAAUAGUUAAAGAAGAAAAAAGAUAAAAAAUAGAAAAAAAGAAAAAAAAAAUACACACACAUAUAUAUAAAACACAAAAAGAAAAAAAAGAAAAGAAAAGAAGUUAAAAAGUAAUAAAAAAUAAUAAAAAGUAAAACUAGGAAAAAAGUAAAAAAAAAGAAAUUAAAGAGCAAUAAAAAACAGAAAUAAUAUAUAAAACAGUAAAAUAACAUAAAAAAGGAAAAAAAAAGUAGAGGAAAUAGAGAAAUAGAAAAGGAGAGAAAUAAAUAUAUACUAAUAUAGAUAUAUAAUAAAUGAAGAAAAAAAAUGACAGAAUAGAGAAAGAAAAAUGAAAAAAAAUAAAUUUAGAAAAAGUAGAUAAAAAUAGAAAAAAAAAAGUGGGCGAAAUAUCAGAAGAUAAAGGAAAAGAAAAAGUGAAGAAAAAAGUUAAAAGAUUUAAAAAAAUGUAAAAAAUGUAUAAAAAAGAAAAAAAAAAAGAAAAAAAACUAAAAAAAAAGUAGGAUAAGAACGGAAAAAACAGAAAAUAUAAAAAAAAAAAAAAGGAGAAAAAAAGAAAAGAGAUGUGACAAAACAAAAUAUAUAAAAAAAAUAUUAAAUUUAAAACAUAAAAAAGUUUUUUUUAAUUAAUAAAACGAUUAAAAAAAAAAAAAAGGAAGUGAGAGAAAGACCAAAAGAAAUUAAAAUGUAUCAAACAAAAAAAGGAAAAAAAGAGAUAAAGAUAAAUAAAUAAUAAUAAAAUAGAACAGGGGGGAGAAAAGGAAAAAAAGAAAAAAAAUGUGAAGAUAACAAAAAUUAUAUAUAAUAGAUAUAUAUAUAUAUUACAUUUAAUUUAUAAUUAAUCAAAUUAUCUUUUUUUUUAUUUAGUUAAAAGAGGGCGAAAUUACAUUGCUACCUAUGAAGACUAUUGAAAAUUUGAAUUUAAUAGACAAAACACCCCUGGAGGUUUGAAAAAAUGACAGUGACCUUUCUCUGAGAUUGAAAUGAAACUUGUAACAGAUUAUCCCCAUUUUAACUAACACCCUGAGGUUGAGGGGUGGUAAUACAUAUAAAACACAUUUGACAUCAAUCGUCCGUUAGUAAGAUUGUCUGCCCAUUUAAUGGACAUCAGCAUGAAUAAUGGUUGGAAUACCAUAUAUGCCAUUUUUUGAUUAAAAAUUACUAUUAUACCCACAAAAGAUAUGAUUGCUAUGAUCAAAAAAGUGAAUAAUAUUGAACCUAUUAUUAAUGAUUUAAUAUAUUAUUUACACCAUUUUUGUUAUUAAUCUGUUUAAAAUAGUUGAAAAAAUCGAUCAUGUAUAUGUCGCAUGUGCUUAAAUUAAAUGUCCUUAGUCAUAAAAAUAAUAGUUAUUAAAACUUACUUAGGUCCUUUCUUUCGGACAAACCAUCGGUGAAGCUAACCGGUCAUAGGACGAUUAGAAAGUUUAAAAAUAAUUCAACCGGUCCAACACUGAAGCUCAACCGUAAAUAACAUCAGUGCACUAAGUUCAAAAAAGAUGAUUUUUUGGUCAAUCAAAUCAAUUCUUUUUCAAGUCUAAAAUGUUAAGAAAGAAAUCUCACAAAUACUAUUAUUUUGGUUCAAAUUAAAAAUAACUUGUUAAUCUUAUUAAAAAUGAUGGGGCAAAAGGUAUGAUUUUGACUUGAUUGGCCAGCAAGCUAUGAAUGGUAGGGGCCCAUGAUGUGGGGAUGGCUUGGACAGCAAGCCCCGCCCGCCCCUAUACAUAAGAGUAAAUAGGCUUCUCACAUGGUUCACAUGGUGGUGGGGAGAGUUUUGGCUGGAGCUGGAGGAGAAAAAAAGAUAUUACUUUUACUUUAUUUUUUUGUUUAGCUUAAACGAUGUUUAGUUUUAUUUUUAAAGAGAAAAAAUAUAGAUUUUUAAUUUAUCAUUUUCAAGCUUGAAAUCUUUAAAGCUACUUUAUUUUUUCAUGAUUGUAAGGUUUUUUUAUUUAUUUAUAAUUUUUAUUUAUACUCUUAUAUUUUCAUGGCUUCUAUAAACUAUGCUUAAAUUCUCAUGCUUUAUUUGUUAUUUUUGUGGUCACAUAAGAUUGAACCCUCCUACACCCUGUAGGGCUAAAUACAUUGGUUUGGUUUAAAUAUAUGUCUCAUUCCAACCCUAAUUUGAUCUAGUUUCUCUGUCUUUCAAAUGAUUCAGUGGUUUAUUUUAGGAUUGAUUAAUGGUAUUUUUAAGAUCAAAACUUAGAAUUGCACAUAUAUGAGUAUUUAUAACAAAAUUCUUGGUACAAUUAAUGCUUAAAUCUAUUGUAUUUUUAAGUGUUUGAAUAGUAUAUGAACUCUUACCAAUUUCUAAUACAUUUUUAGACAUAUAUUUUUUUAUAAAAAUCUUUCACACCAUAUCCUUUGUUUCAAACAAUGUAUAUUGAGUCAAACGAGUGGAUCGGAUCUAUGUAUUUUUCUCCAAAGGAUCGUGCUUAUGUGAGUGCAUGACAGACUCUUGAAACGAACUGUUAAAACAGAAACGAUUUGAGAAGUUGUAUGUGGAAUGAGAAUGCAAGCCGAAAUUUUAUGGGUUGUCGACUAUUUAUACGUAUUUGUGUGUGGGAUAUAUAUAUGGAGUGCCCUGUUUAGAUCAUUAUAUCAAGACGGAUUCUAACAUAAUAAUGUUGGAUUGUAAAAAUUGCCUAAAAUGAAGCUUAGUUACUUGAACUACAAGUAUCUUACUCAACUAGGUAUUCGGAUUUUCCUAAUGCAAGAAACGAACCAGGGAUGUCGAAAGCGGUUAUCACCAGUCGUUGAUUUCGGCUUCACCACAGAAGCCACAUCAGAUCAAACAGGGGUCCGCAAGUGGACGGAGUUAGGGAGAUUGGGUCGCGUAUGUAAGCUUACGCUGAAAAUAAAUGGGGCCAAGAAAAUGGGCUUUUGAUUAAAACCCAUUUUGUAGAUGCAAAAAAACUAGCUAUGGACUUUCUAUAAAAAAAAAAAAAUUUAAGGUAAUGGAUGAUCCAAACUAAAAAUAAACUUACAAAGGGAAUAUAAACCUUAUUCUCAAUUAAACUCUAUCUACUUGAGCAUCAUUCACCUCCCAUGGAUUAAUAGGGGUGUUUCCCACUUUAACAACACAAAGUUUCGUCCCAAAACGCCCGCAACUGCACACCAUGCCUUUUUUGCGAGGUUGGGGAUUUGCGGAGAUCAAAGGCACCGCCAGGGGUUGCCCCGCGCCCCAAAAUAUAAAAAAAAUCCCAACCAAAACGACGUCGCUUAUCAUCCAAAUGCAUUCACCAAAACGACGUUGUUUUGGGGACGACGUCGUUUUGCCUAGACUCCAACUUGCAGGUGUAUUCCCGCACCGCAGUAACCCCGGAUCCCUUUUUUGAGACCAUUCCUUUCGGCAAUCUUAACCAAUUCUUUCCCAAACUGUAAAUGAGUUCAAACGAAUCACACAAUCGUCGUCUGAUUUUGCAUCUCCAAUCUCCUGAGGCUCACAACCUACUCUUUCUGGACCUCUUUCUGCGGAUUUCUUUCCAAACGGUCUCUCUUGGGAGCUAAGAAAUCCAUGUCUCUCAUUUGUGUAUACGACAUAAUCUAUGACAUUGGCUUUUGCUAAACCAUGCUGGCGAACAACUUCUUUUGAACCCCAAUGCAAUUCUGACUCGUGGAGGCCUUUGAUCCGGUGUCAUGAAAUUCCCAGCAAUUGCGGUUCGGGUGUUGGAUCUCUGGUAGACGCAGUCAUUGUCUUCUCCUCCUUGUCUUUCUUCGUUCUGUUUUCUGGGCCACCCUUUUCUUCAUCAUUUCAGAACACGCCCGUUUUUGACCAACCCUUGAUUUUCUUCACAUCUUAAGAUAGAGAAGUAGGCUUAACUAGGGCGAAUGUGACCGUAACGACAGUAAUGUGUUUUGCAAGGCGUUAUUCUCGUAUAGUUCUUUAAAUCUCAGCAUGAAAACUUGGAAUAAAUUUGCAUGAGAUACUUGUUCUUUGAGGAAACUCUCUCUCCAAUCUAUAUCUCUCUUUCAUUCGACAAACACAAGUUUUGAGAAAACGACCUAUCUCUUAACCACUUUGCUUCUUCUAUCUUGGUUGAUGUUAUGGUUAAAAUAGAAAUUGAUUUGAGCGAAAGUGUAUGUAGUGAAUGAGAAUUGCACAGGUGAAAUUUGUGGGGUGGUUGAUAUAUUAUGUGUAUGUAUAUAGGAAUGUGCAGUGUUUGAGAUGAAUGAAGGAUUCCAAAACAUGAAUGAAGGUUGGGAUUGUAAAAUUUCCUAAAAAUGAAGCUAAGUGAACUUCUUGAUCAAACUAGGAUUCGGAGUUUCCUUAUUCAGAUACUGGAUCCAGAUUCAUUAAAAGUGAGAAUUUGUUGGUUGUGAUUUGCAAUUCAAAAUAGGGAGACGUUAUGACGCGAUCGAUCAUCAGCCGUUCAUUUCAGCACAAAGUAGUAGAUAGAAGUGUCACCGAGAGCCAAAGGCAGAUCAAACAGGGGUUAUGGGACUGGUGUGGGAGAUUGGGCCGGUGUGACUGCAACUGCAUAAAGCCCGAAGUGAAUUGCGCCAAAAAUGGUCUAUGGCAACAAUCGGGAUAGGAAAAGGCAAAAUAGAAUAACUGACUUAGUUAAAAAAGAUUCACUUUAUUGUUUAAAACAAAUCGCUAGUCUGCAAUGUAUCAUAAAUCAUAUUCAUAUAAUCUCGAUCAUUAAUUCCGGCUGGCCUGGGAGACCAAGUCAGUCAUAUCUAAUAAAUGAGCUUAGAAAUUCAGUUUAGAGCCCGGUCCAUAAUUCGAACUUAAAAAGUGGGCAGGUUACUGGCCUACGACCACCAACAUGAAUAAAUUUUUAAUGCAAAGGUGAUAAUAUGGGGUAUGAUAUGUUAUUUCACAAUCAAUUAUAUACUGAUAAAAUUAUGACGAAUUCUAAUGAGUGAAUAGGACUAUUAUUUUGAAAAAUCAAUAACCGUCAUAUUUAACACGUGCCUUAUUAUGCGAACCCUUCGUAACUUGUUGGAAUUAGAAAUGUUUUAAAGGAUCUGCAACUUGUGCAAUAUCAUUUUUUUUCAUCAUUUUUGAGGAUGUUAUUGUCGCCAGGCUACAUAAAUGAAAAUUGACGAUAAAUUCUUGUGAAGGUGUUAAUUUAUUACAAUUAAAAACUUAGAGCUUAAUUUUUAUCAAGUAAAUUUAGGGUUAUUUUUUGUACUAUUUCCA
rnacentral:lncRNA from 1 species